rnacentral:tRNA from 1 species
CUGGCCAAACCCCAGAGAAGAGCA